CAACACCUACACCCGAAGGCGUCCAAAGCUUAACGCCGUUAUUCCUUCGGUGGUAAAAAACAAGAAGAGGAGCUACGCCCAAUUCCACCUCGAUUUCGGCCAAUCUGAUUUCCUCUUACGCGCAUGUUCCACUUGCCGCUUCAAGUUCACUCCCCGACUUUCACAAAUCUUACACCCAGGGGAUUCAAUUCAGAGUAACUUCUCUGCUUCCUCUCUCUCUUUUCGCCAUUAUUUAUUCCUAUUCCCAUUCUUCUGCAGGUUGGACCAAAGAAAAUGUUUUCCCUCCACCCAGCGUAGAAACGGGUCGAAUAAUUUUGGUAUCGGAGAACGACCUCACUUCUCACCGAAAAAAAUGUUGAGGAGGUCGUGAGAAUGAUGGAAAUUGAACUUGGGACUGAAUGGAUACUUCACGACUUCUGCAAGGCUGUUUGUUUCUCUUCACAGGGAAGAGUUUCUGCAAGGAUCUUGAGCUUGAACGUUCUCAACUAGCAUUCUCUCAGCCAACCUCAGCUGGAAAGGCAUUAGCAACAAGUUACACUGGCACUGAAUCAUUCUUGGCGUAUUAAAGCGAACAAAACUAUUGGUUAGUGAUUACUAUUUCGUACUGACAGAUAAAGCCAUGUUUAGAUUAGUGAUUACUUCUGUUGACUGUUUAAUUAACACAAACAUAAGCUAUUAUUCUUGUAAAGUAUAACCUUUUUAGCUCAUAUAAGCUAUGAAUCCUUGAUCUCGUUGCUUCUUAUUGUUGUAAGCCUUUUGUCAUUCCGAGUUGAUUUUCCCAUUAGGUUCUUGAGUA